GCCUAUUUAGCUCAAGUGGUAAGAGCAUUCGUUUCAUACGCGAAAGGUUACUAGUUCAAGUCUAGUAAUAGGCA
rnacentral:tRNA from 1 species